UACGAGGGGUGCAAGCGUUGCUCGGAAUUAUUGGGCGUAAAGGGUAGGUAGGUGGUCUCAUUUGUCAGGGGUGAAAGCCUUGGGCUUAACUCAAGAAGUGCCCCUGAAACGGUGAGACUCGAGUACUGGAGAGGGUCGUGGAAUUCCCGGUGUAGCGGUGAAAUGCGUAGAGAUCGGGAGGAACACCAGAGGCGAAGGCGGCGACCUGGACAGUUACUGACACUCAACUACGAAAGCGUGGGGAGCAAACAGG
rnacentral:rRNA from 1 species